UACGGGGGGGGCAAGCGUUGUUCGGAAUUACUGGGCGUAAAGGGCUCGUAGGCGGCCAACUAAGUCAGACGUGAAAUCCCUCGGCUUAACCGGGGAACUGCGUCUGAUACUGGAUGGCUUGAAUCCGGGAGAGGGAUGCGGAAUUCCAGGUGUAGCGGUGAAAUGCGUAGAUAUCCGGAGGAACACCGGUGGCGAAGGCGGCUUCCUGGACCGACACUGACGCUGAGGCGCGAAAGCUAGGGGAGCAAACGGG
rnacentral:rRNA from 1 species